rnacentral:rRNA from 1 species
UACGUAGGGUGCAAGCGUUAAUCGGAAUUACUGGGCGUAAAGCGUGCGCAGGCGGCUUUGCAAGACAGAUGUGAAAUCCCCGGGCUCAACCUGGGAACUGCAUUUGUGACUGCAUGGCUAGAGUACGGUAGAGGGGGAUGGAAUUCCGCGUGUAGCAGUGAAAUGCGUAGAUAUGCGGAGGAACACCGAUGGCGAAGGCAAUCCCCUGGGCCUGCACUGACGCUCAUGCACGAAAACGUGGGGAGCAAACAGG